rnacentral:rRNA from 1 species
GAUGAACGCUGGCGGCGUGCCUAAUACAUGCAAGUCGAGCGAACAGAUAAGGAGCUUGCUCCUUUGACGUUAGCGGCGGACGGGUGAGUAACACGUGGGUAACCUACCUAUAAGACUGGGAUAACUUCGGGAAACCGGAGCUAAUACCGGAUAAUAUAUCGAACCGCAUGGUUCGAUAGUGAAAGAUGGUUUUGCUGUCACUUAUAGAUGGACCCGCGCCGUAUUAGCUAGUUGGUAAGGUAACGGCUUACCAAGGCGACGAUACGUAGCCGACCUGAGAGGGUGAUCGGCCACACUGGAACUGAGACACGGUCCAGACUCCUACGGGAGGCAGCAGUAGGGAAUCUUCCGCAAUGGGCGAAAGCCUGACGGAGCAACGCCGCGUGAGUGAUGAAGGUCUUCGGAUCGUAAAACUCUGUUAUUAGGGAAGAACAUACGUGUAAGUAACUGUGCACGUCUUGACGGUACCUAAUCAGAAAGCCACGGCUAACUACGUG